rnacentral:rRNA from 1 species
GACGGGGGGGGCAAGCGUUGUUCGGAAUUACUGGGCGUAAAGGGCUCGUAGGCGGCCAACUAAGUCAGACGUGAAAUCCCUCGGCUUAACCGGGGAACUGCAUCUGAUACUGGAUGGCUUGAGUUCGGGAGAGGGAUGCGGAAUUCCAGGUGUAGCGGUGAAAUGCGUAGAUAUCUGAAGGAACACCAGUGGCGAAAGCGGCUUCCUGGUCCAGUACCGACGUUCAGGCACGAAAGCGUGGGGAGCAAACAGG